UACGGGGGGGGGCAAGCGUUGUUCGGAAUUACUGGGCGUAAAGGGCGCGUAGGCGGUUUGCUAGGUUGGACGUGAAAAACUCUGGGCUUAACCCAGAGCCUGCAUCCAAAACUGGCAAGCUAGAGUUUUGGAGGGGGAAGCGGAAUUCCUGGUGUAGCAGUGAAAUGCGUAGAUAUCAGGAGGAACACCGGUGGCGAAGGCGGCUUCCUGGACAAAAACUGACGCUGAGGCGCGAAAGCUAGGGGGAGCAAACAGG
rnacentral:rRNA from 1 species